AGAUUUGUAAGGGGUUGGAAUUUGGAACAAGUGCUGCUCAAACUUUGUCUCCAUUCAGCCACCUGUGUUAUAUAUCACCACCAAAGUAUGAUCCCAUUCUUAGCUAAAGAGGGAAAUAAAUAACCAACCCUUUUUCUCAUUUCAAGAAAGUAUUUGUUCCUUAUAGCCUUAUAGGGGAUGAUGAUCAAGAGGGAUUGCAUCCCAACAGAUUGUGUACACGGCUACGAAUCAGAAAUUCAUACUCUCUUCUUAACCGUCUAUCGAAGUCCUUACAGAUGAAUAUCUUUAUGAGAUCUUGUCAAGCUCGGAGUGCUUCAAUUUGUAUCUCAAACUGUUGGUUCACCCUCGGAUAUUGUUCAUAAUGGAUUUCUUAGGAGAAUGAUGGGUUUCUUGCAAGGUGUUCAGAAGGAAAGAAAGCAACAGUUGGCAGAUUUCUUUCUUCGGCUCCCAGGUCUUGUUAAAAACACUCAAUCUCUUGCAUAUAUAGAUUAUCAUCCCCUGUUCUAUUUGUGGCUUAAUUACACACUCUUGGUCAUAUAGAGAAUCGCUUCCUUUAGACAUGCACUUUGUACCACAUGCUUGUUUCGAGUAAUUCAUUACUUGACAUCAAAAUCCUAUU